GCCGGGGUGGCGGAAUUGGCAGACGCGCAGGUCUCAAAAACCUGUGGAGCUUAACACUCCGUGACGGUUCGACCCCGUCCCUCGGCACCA
rnacentral:tRNA from 1 species